rnacentral:lncRNA from 1 species
UACUAAUACUAAUACUACACAACUAAUCUGGCCUCUCAAAUGCAGCAGUGAAUACUACGCAAUGGAUAGUGAGGUAGGAGGUACAACAGGCUACGCAUGCGUUGCUGGACGAGAAGAGGAGAGUACUGUAGAUUCAUGUUUGCAGUCUGAAACCGAAACAUGAAAAUUUAAGACUUCACAUUAACCGCCUUGUCUUGCAUUCACUCAAAGCUGGACCAGCUCUCCCUUAGAACACAGUAUGUAGAGGUCCCUGCAUGUGAAAUGUAAAUGUGACAGGAGGAAUUUCACUAUGUGACCCAAAAGCAAGAGCGGUGUGGGAUGUUUCAGCCUCAGGAGCUGUCUAUACAACGCCCUACAGUUUCCCACACAGCCCCGCUGGGGUUUGCUGAUUACAGUAGAAUAAUGACAUCAUGGAGAUACGCACCUUACUUCUUUCUCCUUGUGUUGCUAAUUGACUUGUCAAAGGAGGAAUGCGAGGACUACUUUGAUUUUUCGAAAGAUAAAAACCUGGCACACAAUCUGACAAGGACGUUCCCCCUGGUAAAGCCUAAGAAUACCACGGACUUGCUACAGUGCAUGGGCUGCACUCUAAAAAAAAGCAAAGGCAGGGACAAACAGUUCCCAUACAUUCUGAAAGACUGCUUUGAAUCGGUCAAUGCCGAAAGUUGUUCUAAUGAAACUUUUGGUAAUAUUUCGUAUUACAACCUAAUGUGCUUGACAGCCAAAGCGCUGGAACUUAACAGUACAGACAUUAAAGCCUGCCAUUUUGGUGACAGUGAAACUCUAUUCAAGCUGCCUUCACUACAGUAUUAUGACAACUUAAAAUCUUUUGGAUCAUCAUCCCCACCACAAGAAAUUGCUUCAUCAGAUAACGUGUUAAAGUACUUUCCCCUAUCGAUGGGCCUCAUCCUGCUCCUGCUAACAAUUGUUUAUCUGUACAAAAGCUUGAAGAGACAAAUCACAAAAUGGAGAGAGAAUAAUGCAGAGAAUUGUUCUGUACCACAAGAGUUGACCGUUUCGCAGCCAAUCACUCAGCCAAGAGUUGCAAAAAGGAAUGAAGAGGAGGGCACCCAGUUUCUGGAUGACCAUAGGCUGCCAUGUCACCUUUAAAUGACAAAACCUGCCCUGACUGAACUGGUGAAAAUGGAAAGCUGCACUAAGGACCACACUGUCAAAACUGCUGCUGUCUGUUUCAUUACGUCACAGCCGUGGGAUCUGGAUACUAUAAUGAAAAGGACAAAAGAAUGACUGCGUGUUGCAAAUGUCCUGGGCCCAAAUUAAGGAAGCCAUCCCAUUCAAGUCCUAUGGCAGUAAAUGAGGAGCUGGACUCACUUAAGCGAGAAAAAAAGGAAACAAGCCCAUCUAGUAAAGCAGGAGGUCAAAACAAGCAACAGGUCAUAACAAACCUGAGCAGAUGCUGAGGACUAGUUACGUGGUGGCGUUAGGUCAGUGACUGCAGAGGCAGAGAGUUUGCAGAUGGCCAGGGAAGUGGACAGUAUUAGUGUUAUGAAAUCAGUCCACGCCGGCUGUCAAACGCUGACGCCAUUCUUCAGUUUUAUACCCUAGGUCAUGGCAUCUUCUAAAUAAGUGACACCUUCACGUCAGCAUGCCAUGCACAAGGCUUGGCUUUCUUGGAAUAUCUAACACUAAUAAUAAAAAACUUUGAAACAAAAGUUUUUUCA